rnacentral:rRNA from 1 species
CAGUCGCCGCGGUAACACGUAGGUGGCAAGCGUUGUCCGGAAUUAUUGGGCGUAAAGGGCUCGCAGGCGGUUUCUUAAGUCUGAUGUGAAAGCCCCCGGCUCAACCGGGGAGGGUCAUUGGAAACUGGGAAACUUGAGUGCAGAAGAGGAGAGUGGAAUUCCACGUGUAGCGGUGAAAUGCGUAGAGAUGUGGAGGAACACCAGUGGCGAAGGCGACUCUCUGGUCUGUAACUGACGCUGAGGAGCGAAAGCGUGGGGAGCGAACAGGAUUAGAUACCCGAGUAGUCCCUGUCUCUUAUAU